UGCUAAUACCGGAUGUGCCGAGAGGUGAAAGUUUUUUCGCCUGAAGAAGAGCUCGCGUCUGAUUAGCUAGUUGGUGGGGUAAAAGCCUACCAAGGCGACGAUCAGUAGCUGGUCUGAGAGGAUGAGCAGCCACACUGGGACUGAGACACGGCCCAGACUCCUACGGGAGGCAGCAGUGGGGAAUUUUCCGCAAUGGGCGAAAGCCUGACGGAGCAAUACCGCGUGAGGGAGGAAGGCUCUUGGGUUGUAAACCUCUUUUCUCAAGGAAGAUAAUGACGGUACUUGAGGAAUAAGCAUCGGCUAACUCCGUGCCAGCAGCCGCGGUAAUACGGAGGAUGCAAGCGUUAUCCGGAAUCAUUGGGCGUAAAGAGUCCGUAGGUGGUGAGUCAAGUCUGCUGUCAAAGACGGAAGCUUAACUUCUGGUAGGCGGUGGAAACUGAAACACUAGAGUUCGGUAGGGGUAGAGGGAAUUCCCAGUGUAGCGGUGAAAUGCGUAGAGAUUGGGAAGAACACCAGUGGCGAAAGCGCUCUGCUGGGCCGAAA
rnacentral:rRNA from 2 species